rnacentral:misc_RNA from 1 species
GGAAGUAAAAGUCUAACAAGGUUUCCGUAGGUGAACCUGCGGAAGGAUCAUUAAAGUUAUAGUCCCCCGGCCCUCUGGGCUGGGGUCUUCUAUACCACCCUUUGUUUAUUACACCUUUGUUGCUUUGGCAGGCCUGCCCUCGGGCUGCUGGCUCCGGCCGGCUCGCGUCUGCCAGAGGACCUAAACUCUGUUUGUAUAUGAAGUCUGAGUACUAUAUAAUAGUUAAAACUUUCAACAACGGAUCUCUUGGUUCUG